CAGUUACGAUGACAGGCAGCUGGAAAAUCCUGUCCGUCUCCCCACUGAUGUGAAAGACAAAAUCCGGAACUUUUGUGACCGAAAGCUGUUCCUGGAGGACGUCCAGAAGGAAUUCAAUGAUGAAAUGGCUGCUCUUUUGAAAGGGAGGAGGAGGAAGAGAACAAGAAUGGAAGUAACGGUG